CCCUUAGGUGUUCUGGGAUGCACGCGCGUUACACUGAUUCGUUCAACGAGUUUAUGACCUUGCCUGAUGAGGUGGGGGAAUCUUUUCAAAUCGCAUCGUGAUGGGGAUAGAGUAUUGUAACUGUUAGUCUUCAACGAGGAAUUCCUAGUAAGUACGUGUCAUCAGCUCGUACUGAUUAUGUCCCUGCCCUUUGUACACACCGCCCGUCGCUCCUACCGAUUGAGUGCUCAGGUGAAUAGUAUGGACUGCAUCAGUGUUCGGUCUCCGAAUGUUGACGCGAGAAAUUCUGUGAAUCUUAUUGCUUAGAGGAAGGAGAAGUCGUANCA
rnacentral:rRNA from 1 species